GACGAACGCUGGCGGCGUGCUUAACACAUGCAAGUCGAACGAAGUGGCGAACGGGUGAGUAAUACGUGGGUAACCUGCCCUCCUUUUUGGGAUAAGCCUUGGAAACGGGGUCUAAUACCGAAUAAAGGGGGAUGGGCUCGCGUCCGAUCAGCUUGUUGGUGGGGUGAGGGCUGACCAAGGCGGUGACGGGUAGCCGGCCUGAGAGGGUGACGGGCCACUUUGAGACGGAGAUACUGCCCAGACUCCUAGUGGAGGCAGCAGGGGGGGAUAUUGCACUAUGGGCGAAAGCAUGGUGCAGCGACGCCGCGUGGGUGAUGAAGGCUGGCGGGUUGUAAACCUCUUUCGCUCGCGAACGGGUAGGUGGAGAAGAAGCGCCGGCUAACUACGUGCCAGCAGCCGCGGUAAUUC
rnacentral:rRNA from 1 species